AUUGAACGCUGGCGGCAUGCCUAACACAUGCGAGUCGAACGGUAACAGCAAGCAGCUUGCUGCUUCUCUGACGAGUGGCGGAUGAGUGAGUCAUGUCUGAGAUGCUGCCUGCUGUAGGGGGAUAACUACUGGAAACGGUAGCUAAUACCUCAUAAUGUCUCCAGCCCAAAGAGGGGUAGCUUCUUUCCUCUUUCCAUCAUAUGUGCCCAGAUGGUAUUAGCUUGUUGGUGGGGUAACGGCUCACCAAGGCGACGAUCCGUAGCUGGUCUGAGAGUAUGACCAGCCACACUGGAAGUGGGACAGGGUCAAGACUCCUACGGGAGGCAGCAGUGGGGAAUAUUGCACAAUGGGCGCAAGCCUGAUGCAGCGAGGCCGCGUGUAUGAAGAAGGCCUUCGGGUUGUAAAGUACUUUCAGCGGGGAGGAAGGGAGUAAAGUUAAGACCUUGGCUCAUUGACGGUACCCGCAGAAGAAGCACCGGCUAACUACGUG
rnacentral:rRNA from 1 species